rnacentral:lncRNA from 1 species
CCGACCAAUGUGGUCCAGGUAUGCACUAUUAAGCUGGUCCCAAGUAUUGAAAAUGAAUAUCUAAAUAUGUCUGGGCAUGGCACUAAAUACCAAGAACUCGAAUCUAUGUUUGGUUUUUUAAUAAAUAAAAGAAUAAAAGAAAGAAUAUAUUUAUACAAAAUUACAAAUCCAAAAUCCAAAAUAAACCCAAAAUCCCUAGUACACACCGAAACAAGAUGACACACCUGUGCGCCCACUGCCGCACCUCCAACACUCCGAGCCAGUAGCCACCAUGUCGCACCUCCACGAAGGUCCCUCUACGUGUCUGCAUCAUCUCUUCUCAAUUCUCAGUUGCUAGCCUUGGUGCGUGACUUCUCUCCAUUCUCCACCCUCAUAACUCACCUUCUUAGCCUACAACCAUGUUUACACAGUCGACUUCACUGUCACCUUCUCAGCCACCAUUGCUCUGCUAUCACAACCAACAGGUAUUAACUUUUUUCCUACUAAAAAAAUGAUGAAAUUAUUGUUGUUGUUAGGUGUUAUAUACAUGCUUUUUGUUUUUCUUGGAUGCUGUACUUGGAUGAUUAUUUUUUAUAAUAAUAAACAUAUGUAAUAGGAGCUAAAUUUAAGUUAUUGUUAACCACUGAGUUAAUUUGUUACAUAAUAUUUAUAAUUAUGUAAUAUUUUUGCUUGGAAGAAGGUAAUUUUAGAUGAUGAUUAUUGGCCACAAGCGUCAAGCAGCCCAACAUGAAGUUGUUAUUUACUUAUUUUACAUGGAGUAUUUUGAGACUCUUUUAUGAAUUAUUUUGUUAGUUGUUAGACAUUUUGGAAUUUUCAUAUGUUAUACCGAUAAUUAGCAUCAUGAUUAUGAACUAUGAUAAACUAUUUAGAUUUAUUUGGAGAUUAUUAUGUUGUUGAAUUUAAAAUUUUGAUAGAGAUUGAAUGAAUUUAAGCAGUAGAAAGUAGAUUAAAAUAAUUUUAAUUUAUUAUUUUGUGUAAAAUUUGCAGUUUUUUUUUUUAAAUUCAGUUUGAAUAUGCAGGUGGAGGAAGCUCGACUUAACUCCUGCCUGGGAGGUGCCAAACUUAGGGGCCGUUUGUUUUUUUUUACUUAAUGACUUAAUUGACUUAAUUUUAAUUAGUUAAGUCAUUAAGUCUGUUUGUUUUUUCAACUUAAUAAAAAAUUUUAACCAUUAAGUCAUUAAAUUAUUAAGCUAUUUUUUUUAACUUUAUACUUAAUCUAAAAGUCUGAAUGAUAUCAUUACAAAAUAUUCUCCAAAACAUCCCUAUGUAAUUAAUUAAUUUUCAUCCUUACCUAAAUAAAACAUAAUAAUUAGCAAUAUUAUCCAUCUCUAUAUAACUUGUGUAAUAUAUAGUGGUAGUUUGGUAGAUUAUUAUGAUUUUUAUCUUUUUUUAUUUUCUUCAAAUUAGCAUUAUUUAUCUCCAUAAUGUUUUACAAAAAUUUUCAUAUAAAAACAUCAAAAACCA